AUUGAACGCUGGCGGCAGGCCUAACACAUGCAAGUCGAACGGUAACAGGAAGCAGCUUGCUGCUUCGCUGACGAGUGGCGGACGGGUGAGUAAUGUCUGGGAAACUGCCGGAUGGAGGGGGAUAACUACUGGAAACGGUAGCUAAUACCGCAUAACGUCGCAAGACCAAAGAGGGGGACCUUAGGGCCUCUUGCCAUCGGAUGUGCCCAGAUGGGAUUAGCUAGUAGGUGGGGUAACGGCUCACCUAGGCGACGAUCCCUAGCUGGUCUGAGAGGAUGACCAGCCACACUGGAACUGAGACACGGUCCAGACUCCUACGGGAGGCAGCAGUGGGGAAUAUUGCACAAUGGGCGCAAGCCUGAUGCAGCCAUGCCGCGUGUAUGAAGAAGGCCUUCGGGUUGUAAAGUACUUUCAGCGGGGAGGAAGGGAGUAAAGUUAAUACCUUUGCUCAUUGACGUUACCCGAAGAAGAAGCACCGGCUAACUCCGUG
rnacentral:rRNA from 1 species